ACGCAUCGAACACAUUGACGAGCAUAGUCGAGAAGCAGGUUUCGCUACUACUUGGAGACGCAUCGAACACAUUGACGAGCAUAGUCGAGAAGCAGGUUUCGCUACUACUUGGAGACGCAUCGAACACAUUGACGAGCAUAGUCGAGAAGCAGGUUUCGCUACUACUUGGAGACGCAUCGAACACAUCGACAAGCACAGUCGAGAAGCAGGUUUCGCUACUACUUGGAAGAGGGCUAAGAGACGGGGUUUUUUAGUCCCACAUUGCUCAGUUCAGAGGACUGCUCGGCCAAACCCGCUAUAUAACGAGCGGAAUGUUCAUCAAUUGAAAUCACGCAGCUGCGUGGUGAGCACAGAGCGAACUAUUCUUUCGCCUUUUACUAAAGAAUACCGUGUGCACGCCACAUAAAGCAGCAUACGCCAAUUUUUGGAGGGAUUCGUCUCUUUUAGAGAGGGGUCCCAACAAAGCUUAAACCAAACUAAUGGCCAGGGGACAUAUGACGUUGUAAUAGAGUAAAUGGAUUUUGCCGGAGAUCUGAUUACUGACAAACAGUUCAGUCUGUCCAAAAUAGAAAUCCUGCCUCCUGAAGAUGAAGUAUUGUGGCAGCAGCAGAUGUGUCUUCCACAAGAUCAUGUUGUUCUUCAAAGUAUGUCUUCUUCAUUAUAAAGAGAAAGAAAUUUGAUACUAGCAGACAUUUUUUCCAUACCAACAACAAAGCAAUUUAUCAAUUUAUUGGAGAUUUAUCUGGGCUUCAAAGAAGACAGCCAGUGAGUGCUCAGAAACACAAGAGAGCAUCCACUGCAAACAAUCUGAGACAGCAGAACUUGUCUUCUCAAAAUAGCCAGUGAGUAGUGGUCAGAAACACAAGGGAGCAUCCACUGAAAACAAUUUGAUGCUUCAUGUUCCAAAGAUUCCUUUUGUCCAUUGAUUGAAUGCUCUGCUACAGCUCAUCACUUGAAAGCUGCAGAAGCUUAGGACCAUAGCAAUGAGACCAAAUACAAGAAAACCCAGUCAAGGAGAACACAAGAUAACAUAUCACCUGAUCUUGGCCCCUCCAGAUCAAGAAUGUUCUCCACUUGAAUGCCGGAUUGAUUUGGAUGAGUUUGAUUCAUUGCUCAUUACAAUGUGUCCACAUACACAGAAUUUGACAGCUUAUACUGCAUCCAAGCAUUACCUUCCAAAGCUCAAGACACAGGCUGCUCCACAUGAGACUCUUUCAUGCCGCUUUGUAUCCAAACUAAAGGACAAAGGACACACUGCAACUUUCCCUUACACCCAUCCAAUUUAUUUUCUGUGUUGCAAAGCUUUUUACCCUUCCUUUUGUUUUCAGUUGAUUGCUGACUCUUUUUACCCCUCUGAACUCCUUGUAAGAACUUGUGACAGGUCUUUUCUUAGUAUUUGCAUGAUAUGCUGAAG